GUGGGGUGCUCGAGUGGCGAACGGGUGAGUAACACGUGAGUAACCUGCCCUUGACUUUGGGAUAACUUCAGGAAACUGGGGCUAAUACCGGAUAGGAGCUCCUGCUGCAUGGUGGGGGUCGGAAAGUUUCGGCGGUUGGGGAUGGACUCGCGGCUUAUCAGCUUGUUGGUGGGGUAGUGGCUUACCAAGGCUUUGACGGGUAGCCGGCCUGAGAGGGUGACCGGCCACAUUGGGACUGAGAUACGGCCCAG
rnacentral:rRNA from 1 species